rnacentral:rRNA from 1 species
UAACGGCGAGUGAAGCGGCAACAGCUCAAAUUUGAAAUCUGGCUCUUUCAGAGUCCGAGUUGUAAUUUGCAGAGGGCGCUUUGGUGUUGGCAGCGGUCCAAGUUCUUUGGAACAGGACGUCACAGAGGGUGAGAAUCCCGUACGUGGUCGCUAGCCCUCACCGUGUAAAGCCCCUUCGACGAGUCGAGUUGUUUGGGAAUGCAGCUCUAAAUGGGAGGUAAAUUUCUUCUAAAGCUAAAUACUGGCCAGAGACCGAUAGCGCACAAGUAGAGUGAUCGAAAGAUGAAAAGCACUUUGGAAAGAGAGUUAAACAGCACGUGAAAUUGUUGAAAGGGAAGCGCUUGCAGCCAGACUUGUUUGUAGUUGCUUAUCUAGGCUUCUGCCUAGUGCACUCUUCUGCAGACAGGCCAGCAUCAGUUUGGGCGGUUGGAUAAAGGUCUCUGUCAUGUACCUCCUUUCGGGGAGGCCUUAUAGGGGAGACGACAUGCAACCAGCCUGGACUGAGGUCCGCGCAUUUGCUAGGAUGCUGGCGUAAUGGCUGUAAGCGGCCCGUCUUGAAACACGGACCAAGGAGUCUAACAUCUAUGCGAGUGUUUGGGUGUCAAGCCCAGACGCGUAAUGAAAGUGAACGGAGGUGGGAACCCUUUGGGUGCACCAUCGACCGAUCCUGAUGUCUUCGGAUGGAUUUGAGUAAGAGCAUGGCUGUUGGGACCCGAAAGAUGGUGAACUAUGCUUGAAUAGGGUGAAGCCAGAGGAAACUCUGGUGGAGGCUCGCAGCGGUUCUGACGUGCAAAUCGAUCGUCAAAUUUGGGCAUAGGGGCGAAAGACUAAUCGAACUAUCUAGUAGCUGGUUCCUGCCGAA